rnacentral:misc_RNA from 1 species
AGAAGGAAGUUAGUUGCCAUUUGCCAUUCGCUCUUUCUCGACGGAGGAUGAUGUGGAGACGGUGACGACGAAUUUUUGUGUUUUUAUAACAAUGAUUCCUUAAUAAUGUAUCGAAUUAUAUGACGUUUAACUGAUCGAAGGGCAGUCGUGCAUCCUACAUACGCUACCCUAUGUAAAAAUACCUCGGAAACGAAUGACGUCGACGAGGCCAGCAUCGCUGGUGGCCUUUGUCUGAUCAUCCAACAAGGAAGAAGAUAAGUAAACUACUGAUGUUGAAUAUAAACGAUUGAGAAAAUAAGAGUGUAGAAGCAUUUGGAAAAGACGAUCAAUCAAUAUCAAAACGAGCAGAAAUCGACCUUAAGAUGAUAAUAUCAAAUACAGGAAGGGAGAUAUUGGGAUGCUUGAUAAAGUGCAUUAUCUACAAUCACAUAGAGGCGUCAGUAGUACAUCCUUCGAAGGGUGCAGAAAGAGAAAGCUGGAUGACCUAAAUUGUAUGGAAUAUGGAAAUCCAAAUCAGGUCAGUGAUAUCUCAUCAACCAGUGGUGUCUUGGGUGAUAAUGGAAACAGUGCAGUGAACUAUGUUGUAGACCACAAUCAGUGUAAUAGUAUUGUUCCAUAUGCCGUAUCGUCAUCUAACAGUAUUUCGUAUGGUCAACGAAAUGUUGCUAAGAGUACCGCUCCUUCAUCCACUCAGGUUAUUCCCUCACAGAACUUCAUUCGUGCUUCGACGAUCAAGCUGCUCGAUACCUAUCAGGUAGGGAAUUGUUUAAUAUUGCGGAGAGAUUUUUAUUAUUAGCGUAAUAACUAGAAGUCGAGAGCAUGGCCGUAAAACUCUGCGUUUCUAAA